CCGCCAUCUGCACAGAACAAGAGGAGGGCAGGGAGAGGUCAACUGAGGACCCCCAUCUGUCCCAACGUCCCUGUCACCUCACCCCUUGUUGCAAGACAGGGCUCAAGAGUGCACCACACUCCAAGGCGCGCUAACCCAUCCUUCCCCAGCUGCCCUUCACAGUCCCCAUUCCCAACACAGGACACUCCAGCACUCCCUCCUCCCCCCACCUCAGACCCGGCCAGGCGGUCAACAGCCCCCCAUUAACACUGCAAACCCUAGCACACCCCUAGGAGAGGGUGUUGGCCUCGCUCACUGCCCCAAAAAAGGUUCAGGCCUUGGCCUACUCUUGUUGACUCACCCACCCCACCCCAACUCCAAUAACCCUAAGCCUCCCCAUGUGCCCCUCCAAGAGGGCAGCCCUGUGUGUAGAAGAGGCCAGGGACCCCCAUCCCAACUGGCUAACCUGCCUCACCCUGAGCAGACCUUGCUCUCUACCCUGCUAGCUUCCACUCCUCCUCCACCCCUGCUGGCAGCUCCUUUUGGUUUCCUUUAGCCACAUCCCCCCAGUAUGACACCCUGUGCAUAGGCAGGAUUGCUGCCUCUGAACCAGGUCACCCUAACUAGUAUAUACAGAGGCUUUCGCAGGAGUGGGAUGGCAUGACUUGCUUCCUGGGCAGAGUGGUUCUGGGUGUGCCUAGUCACUAAGGGCUGAGGGUAAAAGGUUGGGCAUUACCUUGGGAGAUGCCCCAGGGAAACCAGUACAUGGUCCCUGGCAGCCCCUAGCAUAGCAAGCAGGGAGGUGGCUCCCGCAGCCCCAGCUUCUUGCCAUCUCGAUGGGGACUGUGGGGCCCAGGGUGUGGGUGUGGCACAGAGGGGAAGUGUGGAAUGAGCAGGGGUGUGUGACUGGAUAGGUGCGCAUGGAGCAAGCGGGGACACGGCCCAACAUCAGACACCAGAAAGGGGAGGGGUAGUCCCCAGAGGACCCUGGAAUCUGAGGAGUUCUGCUACUCCAUCCAUCAAGCAGACCACUUCGAGCACCUCCACUGCCCCGUUCCCGCUGUCCUGGACGGAUGAAGAAACCUGGCUGGUGUCUCCGCGCCCCUCGCCUCCCCUUCUGUUCCCCACACGGCAGCCAGAGGGAGCUUUUCCAGACUACAGAUCCGGAUACACCACCCCGCUGCCCGGCCCCGUUCUGAGCCUUCUGUGCAAUGCCUCAAAAAAGCCAGGCCUGUGCCCGCGCAAAGGCUAACUCAGCAAGCAGCACCCGCCCCAUCUGUAUUCACCUAGCACCUGAAAGGCUUGUAAUCUGUGUCCGGCCGACGGGGACGGAAACUUGCGCAUCAACCCGAGAGACCUUCCCUUCCCUUCCCGCCCCGCCCCGCCCCGCGGCGGGCUCCAUUCCUCAGUCCCGACGCCGCAAGGCCGGCCUGGACACUUCAGAACAAAGGCCUGCCCUCGAGACCCGGCGCCCAGGCCAGCUUCCCAGGUCCGGCGCCGCACACUCCCGCCACGCCUUCGCCGCGCCGUGUACUUUACCCCGAGCGCGUUCUCCCAUACUCUGCUCCAUUGCCCGCGCCCUACCCUACGCCCAAAGCACCCCUCUGACCCGCCGCGGCCACCCCGCACUCUGGCCCGCGCCGUACCCCGGUCAUGCAGCGCCCCCUCGCGUUCGCAGCGUGCGCUUCUAGCGGAGCGCAGGUGCCCCUCCCCUGGCACGUCCCAGCCUCCUCGCCCGCCCUGCGGCAGGGGGAUGCCCAUUCGACCCCACCUCCGACUCCUGUUCAGGCACCAGGAUCUGCCGUGGCCGCCGCCUCCUCACCGACUACAAGGCCGCACUUCCGGGCCGUUACGCCGCCGGAACGGAAGCCUGCGGUCGCGGCGGCGCAGGGGAAACCCUAGGCCGAAGCACGUUUCCGGUAUUUUUAUGGCGAUCAGCUCCCGCCAGUCCGCACUCCGGCUCUCCUGUUAGUCGGAACCAAAGUCGAAGAGGCUAGGGCUGCCGCGUCGCGAGGACUCUCCGGACAGCAGCACUCUUCCGGCGUCGCCCCGGAGAUCAGGGGUGUGGCGGACCUGCGCGAUCAAUCCGCAGACGCCCUGUAAUGCAGAAUGGGAAGGCAGUUCCCGGCCCAAGUCCCCAACCUGUUCUGGCCAGUUUAAACCCCACUGCGAACCGGGGAAGUGGCCUUAUUCCUGUGACACGGGUGAGACCUGAAGUAGGUCUCGGUCCCUGGCCGCCAGGAGGCGCAGGCAAGCUACCACUACUGCAGACGCUCCAGGCCCGCCCGCUGUGGGUGGGAUUGGGGAGAGGACCGCAUCUCGGCCUUGGCACCUUCUACUACAACGCAGACAGGAACAGACAACUGCCUCACCCUGCUCUGGGCCUCCCCUGAGCUAGACCCUGUGAGAUUCUGGGACAUUGCAAGUCAAUCUGGUAUGGGGGACAGAAUUCUGAAAAUGGCCCCCUCCAAGAUUCCGUGCCCAAAUCCCCAGAACCUGUAAAUAUUAUUAUCUCACCUAUGAAUAGUUACACUACAUGGUGAAAGGGUUUUUGCAGACAUAAUUAAGGUUACUCAUUAGCUGAUCUUAAAAUAGGAUAUGAUUCUGGAUUAUUUUGGUAGGUCCAAGGUAUCAUAAGGCUCCUUAAAGGGAGAAGAGGAAGGUGGAGAAACUUGAAGUAGGAAAAGGGUUCCAGAGGCUUUGAAGGUAGAGAGGUCCAUGAGAGGGAAUGCAACAGGACAGGUGUCAUGCUGAGAAUCUGAGAAGAGCUGCAACAACAGCCAGCAAGAAAACAGACCUCAUGGCCCGGCGCAGUGGCUCACGCCUGUAAUCCCAGCACUUUGGGAGGCCGAGGCGGGUGGAUCACGAGGUCAGGAGAUCGAGACCAUUCUGGCUAACACAGUGAAACCUCAUCUCUACUAAAAAUACAGAAAAUUAGCCAGGCGUUGUGGUGGGCGCCUGUAGUCCCAGCUACUCGGGAGGCUGAGGCAGGAGACUGGCAUGAACCCGGGAGGCGGAGCUUGAAGUGAGCUGAGAUCGCGCCACUGCACUCCAGCCUGGGCGACAGAACGAGACUUCAUCUCAAAAAAAAAAAAAAAGACCGGGCGCGGUGGCUCACGCCUGUAAUCCCAACACUUUGGGAGGCCGAGGCGGGCGGAUCACGAGGUCAGGAGAUCGAGACCAUCCUGGCUAACACGGUGAAACCCCGUCUCUACUAAAAAUACAAAAAAUAAUUGGCCGAGCGCAGUGGCGGGCGCCUGUAGUCCCAGUUACUCAGGAGGCUGAGGCAGGAGAAUGGCGUGAACCCGGGAGGCGGAGCUUGCAGUGAGCCAAGAUAGCGCCACUGCAGUCCGGCCUGGGCUUUUUUUUUUGACACUCCGUCUCAAAAAAAGAAAAGAAAACAGACCUCAGCCCUAGAAGUGCGUGGAGUUAGAUUCUGUCCACAACCUGAAUGAGCUUGGAAGUAAAUUUUUCCCCAGAGCCUCCAGAUAGCAGCUCAGUCCAUACCACACCUUGAUUUUAGCCUUUAUGAGACCCACAGAAGACCUACUUGGGCUUCUGACCUAUGGAAUGGUGAGCUAAUAAAUGGAUAUUGUUUUAA